rnacentral:rRNA from 1 species
AGUGAACGCUGGCGGUAGGCCUAACACAUGCAAGUCGAACGGCAGCACAGUAAGAGCUUGCUCUUACGGGUGGCGAGUGGCGGACGGGUGAGGAAUACAUCGGAAUCUACUUUUUCGUGGGGGAUGACGUAGGGAAACUUACGCUAAUACCGCAUACGACCUACGGGUGAAAGCAGGGGAUCUUCGGACCUCGCGCGAUUGAAUGAGCCGAUGUCGGAUUAGCUAGUUGGCGGGGUAAAGGCCCACCAAGGCGACGAUCCGUAGCUGGUCUGAGAGGAUGAUCAGCCACACUGGAACUGAGACACGGUCCAGACUCCUACGGGAGGCAGCAGUGGGGAAUAUUGGACAAUGGGCGCAAGCCUGAUCCAGCCAUACCGCGUGGGUGAAGAAGGCCUUCGGGUUGUAAAGCCCUUUUGUUGGGAAAGAAAAGCAGCAGGUUAAUACCCCGCUGUUCUGACGGUACCCAAAGAAUAAGCACCGGCUAACUUCG